GCCUGUGUGCCCGCAUGGGGCUCCUCACUGGGGCUCCGCAGGCGCUGUGGGGGCAGAGGUGGGGGAGGGCUUUCAGAUGACUUUCAGUGUGGUGGGGAGGCCGUCUACCCCCAGGGCAGAGGGAGUUGUGCUCAGCCUGAGGGAAGAACCCGUUUCUGUGGAAUUUGGAGUAACGUGUAUGUAAACACUAUUUCUAUCAUAAGCGGGGCCGACUUCGCCCAGAGGACAUUCAUCAGAGCGGCGAGCAGUGAACUGUGUUUGCCCGCAGGAAAAGACUCCAACGACCACGCACUUGGAGCAGAGCCCACCUGCCCUGGACUGACAGUGUCCCCGCUCCGGCCUCCUUCGAGGCCUGAGAACAGGGUCUGCUGACCGGAGUGCUGGGGGUCCCAGCAGGAACCCGGCAGCCAUAGUUGGUGGGAUCUUGCCCUCCCCAGAGGAUGGUUGGGCCCCCGCCCCGGUGCUCCAGCUGCCCUUCCCAGCCUCCCCAGAUGUUCCUUUUAGCUUCUACCUCAGCUGAAAUGUGAAGAUUAGGCCAAUUUCUUUGUCUCUCAGACUUUUGUAAACGGGAGGCCUCCGAUCCCAGGAAGAUGCAGAGAGCUCUCCCUGUACUUCCUCUGUAAGCCUCCAAGGACAGAAAAUGGUUGCUAUGGGGAUUCCUUCAUGUGUAGAGUAAUCGUUUUCAGAAAAAAGAAUGAUUCACAAGUUCUUUCAGGACCAACAGAGUCCGUCCUUGGGGACGACAUGAUGUAAUAGUGUUUAAAAGAGGAA